UUUCAAAGCUACUCUCUGCGACCACUACUAGUGAAGAUUAGAAAUCACCAAUCGAAGACCCUAAUACUUGAAAGAACGUGAAUCGAAACUUUAUUGGGGCUAUUUUCACUAGAGCCAGAGAUGUCUUAAUUUCUAGAAGUGAUGUUAUCAAGGUUUACAAAGAAAAGAUUCUAAAUAGCCCCCAUGUGUGUGGAAUUGCUGAUGCUAUUUAUAAUGACAUGAUGAGAAGUGCUUUGAAAGUGAUAUUGUGAUGUUGAAGAAUCAAGAUAAGUAAAAUAAGGGUGUCUAAGGGAAAUUAACUCAUAUUCAUUAGAGAAUUGUUUGGUAUCAUGGAAAAAGUACUUGCAUCCUUUCUUAUGUUUAAGG